rnacentral:rRNA from 1 species
AUUCCAGCUCCAAUAGCGUAUACUAAAGUUGUUGCAGUUAAAAAGCUCGUAGUUGAAUUUCUGGUCUCGGACAGCGGUCUGCCUCAAACGAGGUACGCACCACCUGUUCAGGUCCAUCCUCGGAGAAAACAUGCCUGUGAUUCAGUUCAUGGGUAUGGGAUCUUCGUCAUUUACUGUGAGCAAAAUAUAGUGUUCAAAGCAGGCUUAUGCCGUUGAAUACAUUAGCAUGGAAUAAUAAAAUAAGACCUUGGUCUAUUUUGUUGGUUUGUACUCCAAGGUAAUGAUUAAUAGGGAUAGUUGGGGGUAUUCGUAUUCAAUUGUCAGAGGUGAAAUUCUUGGAUCUAUGGAAGACGAACUACUGCGAAAGCAUUUACCAAGGAUGUUUUCAUUA